GAUAUUUUGUUGGAACAAAACUCAACCGAUUUGCGAAGAUCUCUCAUCUCUUUAAGCAGAAUAUUGAACCCGGAGGUUUUGUCUUCGUUUGAAAUAUCCUCUUCUGAAUCUAAUUCCGAUAAUUCGAUGUCCUGUAUCAGGAGAGAACGCCGAUCAGCUGAUUUAGAUCCUACUUGUUGCUGGGUAUAGCUACGAGUUCGAAUUCGGCCUUGCUCAUCGGAUCUACAGUCGAUACACUCCCAUCGAUUACCAGGUAGACUGUUAAUGAGUCCGAGUUGGGCUCUCGAUAUAUCGGAGCAUUUAGAAUUUGCAUGAAAAAAAUUACCGCAAAAACCUGCACACUGAAGACCUGGCGACUUUUUGGAACAAACUUGCUCGCAUGCCUUACACUUUUUAUUAUUAGACAUAAUUAGAUGAUUUGAAUUUGAUUCGCUUUUGUUUUACUUCAAACACUGUGAAUUUUCUAAAUAGAAAUACUAAGUAUUAUUGAUUGAAAAACACCACUAUGGGCAGAGCCGAUAAACACGUCCACACCUGAAUCCUUCCUACAGGAUAUAUGGGCAUCGUCAACGAAGUUGGCCUCAAGUAUUACGAAGAUUUGAUUGAUGAAAUAGUGAAAUACAAUAUGAAAGCAGUGGUAACGCUUUAUCAUUUUGAUUUACCCCAACAACUACAAAAAGACUUUGGCGGGUGGACCAACCCAAGACUUAUUGACAUAUUCGUUGAUUACUCCCGAAUAGUCAUUGAAAGACUAGAAAAAGUUGACUACUGGAUUACGCUGAAUGAGCCGAAAGUAAUUUGUAACUAUGGGUAUGGUAGUGGGGAGAUUGCGCCUGGCUUGAAAUAUCAAGAGUUUGAAUGUGCCAAGGUUGUUAUCAUGUCUCAUGCUGCCGUCUAUCGCAUGUAUAAAAAUGAAUUUCCUAAUAGAAAAGCAAAAAUGGCAAUAAACCUGGAUUGUGAAUGGUUUGAACCAAAAACCACUAGUUCGAAGGAUAUUGCAGCUGCUCAAAGAAUUCUGGAGUUUGAGGU